rnacentral:rRNA from 1 species
GACGACUCUCGGCAACGGAUAUCUCGGCUCUCGCAUCGAUGAAGAACGUAGCGAAAUGCGAUACAUGGUGUGAAUUGCAGAAUCCCGUGAACCAUCGAGUCUUUGAACGCAAGUUGCGCCCAAAGCCAUCAGGUCGAGGGCACGUC